rnacentral:lncRNA from 1 species
CAGGACUGAGCAGAAGAGCCCACAGUGGAAGCUGUGUCUGCAGAGGGCACAGCCGAGCCUCUGCCACAGCUCACGUUGCUGUGCACGCUUUGGUCCCACUGUUGUGAGGUUUUAUUAAUUCCCAAGGCGAGCUUGAAACAUGGAUUCGUUUUUUCAAAUUUAAGGGUAGCAGUGAACAUGUCAACAAAGCAAGCCUGCAUUCAUUGGAAAUUAUCAGGGGCUACUGAUGCUGGCUGGUACUUCAUCUUGCUAGUCUCUUUCUCUUUUUAAGGUGUAUGUAAGCUGAUAAUGAUAGGACAGUUACUGCCCAAUGAAAGUCACCUGGUGAAGACCUAAAGUACGCAAAAUUCAGAAAGAUUUAGAUUAUAGAGCACCCACAGGGCAGAAAAGCUAAUUUUUCACUGUGUUAAAAUCUUAAUAAGAUUAUUUAAAUUCUUUAGGAAAUCCUGCAUGGAAAGCAUAAAACUAAACAAUCCCAUAAAAUAAAGCAUGACAAUGGGACA